GACGAUUUGGUUGAUAGGCUGGAGAUGGAAGAAUGGUGACAUUUUGAGUUGACCAGUACUAAUAGAUCGAGGAUUUAAUCAU
rnacentral:rRNA from 1 species